rnacentral:rRNA from 1 species
AUGUCUUCUUGUAGUGAAGUCUUAUCUAUAUACAAAAAAUUUGCUACCAUGAUUCAUACCCAGUUUUCCACUCAUAUUCGUGUUCUUCGCGCAGAUUCAGCUGGUGAGUAUAUCUCCCGUGCGUUGCGAGGAUUCCUUGCUGAGCAGGGUACUCUUUGUCAGUUUUUUUGCCACGGUGCCCAUGCUCAGAAUGGUGUGGCUGAGCGCAAGCAUCGUCACCUUCUUGAGACGGCGCGUGCGAUGAUGAUUGCCGCCUCUCUUCCGCCUCACUUCUGGGUUGAGGCUGUUACCACUUCCACCUAUCUCACCAACAUUCAGCCUUCUACUGCUCUACAGGGUGGUAUUCCUCUCGAGCGUCUUUUUGGUCAUCCUCCUGAUUAUUCGGCGCUUCGUUUGUGUGGUUGUGUUUGCUAUGUUUUGCUUGCCCCUCGUGAAUGCACCAAACUGACCGCUUAG